GGUUUGAUUCUGGCUCCAGAUUGAACGCUGGCGGGAUGCUUUACACAUGCAAGUCGAACGGCAGCACGGACUUCGGUCUGGUGGCGAGUGGCGAACGGGUGAGUAAUGUAUCGGAACGUGCCCUAGUAGCGGGGGAUAACUACGCGAAAGCGUAGCUAAUACCGCAUACGCCCUUCGGGGGAAAGCGGGGGACCUUCGGGCUUUUCUCCUUUGCUAUUAGAACUCGGCCGAUAUCGGAUUAGCUACGCUUUCGCGUAGUUAUCCCCCCGCUACUAGGCACGUUCCGAUACAUUACUCACCCGUUCGCCACUCGCUAUAGACCGAAAAUCUGACUUUAUAAAGCAGAAGCCACUAUUACCUGUUUCCC
rnacentral:misc_RNA from 1 species